UACGUAGGGGGCAAGCGUUGUCCGGAAUCAUUGGGCGUAAAGAGCGUGUAGGCGGUUCGGUAAGUCCGCUGUGAAAGUCCAGGGCUCAACCCUGGGAUGCCGGUGGAUACUGUUGGACUAGAGUACGGAAGAGGCGAGUGGAAUUCCCGGUGUAGCGGUGAAAUGCGCAGAUAUCGGGAGGAACACCAAUUGCGAAGGCAGCUCGCUGGGACGUCACUGACGCUGAGACGCGAAAGCGUGGGGAGCAAACAGG
rnacentral:rRNA from 1 species